GACGAACGCUGGCGGCAUGCCUAAUACAUGCAAGUCGAACGAACUUUCCUAUUGAUUGAUGCUUGCAUCAUGAUUUAGAUCUAAGUGAGUGGCGGACGGGUGAGUAACACGUGGGUAACCUGCCCAGAAGUGGGGGAUAACAUUUGGAAACAAGUGCUAAUACCGCAUAACAACAUUAAACACAUGUUUUUUGUUUAAAAGAUGGUUUUGCUAUCUCUUCUGGAUGGACCCGCGGCGUAUUAGCUAGGUGGUGAGGUAAUAGCUCACCAAGGCGAUGAUACGUAGCCGACCUGAGAGGGUAAUCGGCCACAUUGGGACUGAGACACGGCCCAAACUCCUACGGGAGGCAGCAGUAGGGAAUCUUCCACAAUGGACGAAAGUCUGAUGGAGCAAUGCCGCGUGAGUGAAGAAGGUUUUCGGAUCGUAAAACUCUGUUGUUGAAGAAGAACAUAUGUGAGAGUAACUGUUCACGUACUGACGGUAUUCAACCAGAAAGCCACGGCUAACUACGUGCCAGCAGCCGCGGUAAUACGUAGGUGGCAAGCGUUGUCCGGAUUUAUUGGGCGUAAAGAGAAUGUAGGCGGUUCAUUAAGUUUGAAGUGAAAGCCCUCGGCUCAACCGAGGAAGUGCUUCGAAAACUGGUGAACUUGAGUGCAGAAGAGGAAAGUGGAACUCCAUGUGUAGCGGUGGAAUGCGUAGAUAUAUGGAAGAACACCAGUGGCGAAGGCGGCUUUCUGGUCUGUAACUGACGCUGAGAUUCGAAAGCAUUGGUAGCAAACAGGAUUAGAUACCCUGGUAGUCCAUGCCGUAAACGAUGAGUGCUAAGUGUUGGAGGGUUUCCGCCCUUCAUUGCUGCAGCUAACGCAUUAAGCACUCCGCCUGGGGAGUACAAUCGCAAGAUUGAAACUCAAAGGAAUUGACGGGGGCCCGCACAAGCGGUGGAGCAUGUGGUUUAAUUCGAAGCAACGCGAAGAACCUUACCAGGUCUUGACAUACCAUGAAAAGCUAAGAGAUUAGUCUUUCCCUUCGGGGACAUGGAUACAGGUG
rnacentral:rRNA from 1 species